UUAACGCAACCUGACGCGUUGCAGUACCGUGCUCUAAACCGAGGCCGAGCUCCCAUCCCCGUCUUAACGAUAAAUUAGGUUUCUGGUUCACCGACUUACCCUAUCGGCAACUCGAUACACGUAUAAUUGAAAACGGAAUCGUUCACCUGUGCACGUAGCAGGAGCACGGGGGAGUGUGUUAGGUAAGCCGGUACUGUCGUCGCUUCCUUCCGUUAUUUCGACGGGCUGAGAAGAAGGAAGGAAGGAAGGAAGGAAGGAAAUAACCGCGGACGAGACGUACUUUUAUCCUGAUAGCGACAGGAAAAAGUAAAAGCUGGUGAAAAAAAGGAAGAUAAAGAGAAGACUGGACAGUGAUUUCGUCCAUCUCGAUAGACGGCGGAGAAAACGGCAGGUGUUCGUUGCGGAGCAGCUGCAAUCACGACCACCAUCUGCCGCAGUAAUGCACGCCUCUUCCAAGUCUUCCAGUCUUGAAGAAGCGAGACUCGUUGCCCGAGGCAUUCAUCCUCAAUUAGACGCCACCUGAAACACGUGCCCCUCUCGAAUCCAUGGAUUUCGAUGGCUUCUUUUUCAUCCACUCCUUAUCUCCUUCUUUUUCUCGUUACUCUUCUUCUUGCUCGUCUUACCACUCCUUUAUUCCGGUUCUCCUCUUCCUCUAUCUCUCCGAGUUUCAGGGCUUCUUUCCUUUUUUCCAUGCCACGCGUCAUUAUCCUUUGCUUCCUCGUACCAGUGGCCAAGUCAUCGAUCACCGAUCACCGUUUUUCGCCGCGACGACAGUUGGCAAGCACGAGGCUUCGCGUAAGCGUAAAAACAUCCUCGACACGUGCUAUCGUUGAAAAUCGUUGAAUCCGAAUAAGAGAACCUGUAUAUCGCGUUACAACUCGAUGCUUCCUUCGUCUAGAAGUUUCGAAAUAAAAUCGUUAAUUUCUUGCCUAAUUGACGAUUUCUACUUUUGAUUAUACCAUGCUGAAAGAAAAAACCGCAUCGUUUAAAACUCGACGAUAAAAUUCAAUUGAUAAAUAUUAUCGUAUUACUAUCGUACUUGCAACAACGCCAAUUCGACCGCAAUUCGAACAGUUCUCUACCUUAUCGAGCUCGUCGGAAAUAACUCGCCGGACAUAUAUGUGUGGCGGGCUCUAGCAUGAUAAGUAUAAAUCACUAUCGUAUUAAUCUUUCUAUUUUAUCUUACGCGAUAAUCGUAUCGUCAACGAAGCAAAAUUGCUUAAUAAACGAGUUUAUUAUUUAUAUAUAAAUCAUUUUAAUAGAGAUAAGAUAAAAUUGAACAAAAGUUGUUAAAAGAAAAAAAAUAUUUACAAAACAAAGACUUUAAAUUAUUUUUCCCAUAUAAAAAUAUUUUAAUUCGGACUCGCUGGAAUUAUUCCUUUACGUUCCAUUUCUUGCUUCAACAUAUACUUUUGCACCUUCCCGCUCGAUGUUUUCGGAUAAUUCGUUACGAAUUCCACGUAACGCGGUAUUUUAAACGACGCUAUACGACUUGCGCAGAAUUUCUUCAACUCCUCCUUCUCAAGUUUUGCGCCGUCCUGAACGCGUACGCAUGCGCACAACUCCUCGCCGUAGACUUUGUCGUAAGCGCCAAUAACUUGUACCUCGGCCACCAGAGGAUGCAUCAUUA